GGAGGAAUGGGUGAGUGGCUGAAACCACCGGUUUGCUAAACCGACGUACGGGUAAACUCGUACCGCGGGUUCGAAUCCCGCUUCCUCCG
rnacentral:tRNA from 1 species